AGCCAUAUGACGAGAAUAGGCGGGCCAGGAUCACCUGGAAAGUUCAAAAUGAAAAAAGUAAAUUAAUAAGUGAAAUUAGAAAAAUGGAAGAACCUAAUGAAAUGGACACAAGUGAUGAAUUUAUAAAACUGCUGAUAACAGAAAUAGUACUUAGAUUUUGAAAAAACGGUUACUCUAAAAAAGUAUUUUGGACUAUUAGACGGAUGAUGAGAUAGGAACCAAGUUUUUCGGCCUCUCAAAACUUUCAUUUGCGAUCCAUAAGAAACUCCAUUUUACACCGGUGCAGUACUGAUUUAUCAGUAGUGAAAAUAUAGCGGUACGAUGAAGAAAACAAAGAACAAAAGUUAGACUUAACAAGACAUGUAGAAUGAGUGAUAAUGUCCAAAGAAAAAUAAGAGUGAUUUAUAAUAUAAGUAAACUGCAGCGAGUCAAAUUUGAGAGCACGAUGGAUUUGGGAACUACUGGCUCCGUUUAGUUUGCCCAUCAAGCGCUCGACAGAUUGGACCAGAUCCAAGGAAAUAAUCUCAAACUCAGAAAUAAUCGUCCCUAAAGACCCGGUUAGCUUCCCAGGUAAAAGAUCAACGUCUACAGUAAGCCGGGUUUUGAAAUAAAACACAUGAUAAAAAGUUA